CUUACGGGAGGCUGCAGUGGGGGAUAUUGCACAAUGGGGGAAACCCUGAUGCAGCGACGCCGCGUGUGGGAAGACGGUCCUCUGGAUUGUAAACCACUGUCCCCAGGGACGAAGAUGACGGUACCUGGGGAGGAAGCUCCGGGAAAUUACGUGCCAGCAGCCGCGGUAAUACGUAGGGAGCGAGCGUUGUCCGGAAUUACUGGGUGUAAAGGGAGCGUGGGCGGGGAGUAAAGUUGGGUGUCAAAACUACCGGCUCAACUGGGGGUCGCACUCAAAACUGCAGCUCUAGAGUGAAGUAGAGGCAAGCGGAAUACCUAGUGUAGCGGUGAAAUGCGUAGAUAGUAGGAGGAACACCAGUGGCGAAGGCGGCCUGCUGGGCUUUUACUGACGCUGAGGCUCGAAAGUGUGGGGAGCAAACAGGAUUAGAUACCCGAGUAGUC
rnacentral:rRNA from 1 species